rnacentral:rRNA from 1 species
CCUACGGGAGGCUGCAGUGAGGAAUAUUGGUCAAUGGGCGCGAGCCUGAACCCGCCAAGUCGCGUGAGGGAGGACGGCCCUACGGGUUGUAAACCUCUUUUGCCGGGGAGCAACGGGCGUCACGUGUGGCGCCACUGAGCGUACCCGGAGAAAAAGCAUCGGCUAACUCCGUGCCAGCAGCCGCGGUAAUACGGAGGAUGCUAGCGUUAUCCGGAUUUAUUGGGUUUAAAGGGUGAGUAGGCGGAGCGUUAAGUCAGUGGUCAAAUUGAGGGGCUCAACCCCUUCCCGCCAUUGAAACUGGCGGUCUUGAGGGGAAGAGAAGGAUGCGGAAUGCGUGGUGUAGCGGGGAAAUGCAUAGAU